rnacentral:tRNA from 1 species
UCGGUGGUUCAGUGGUAGAAUGCUCGCCUGCCACGCGGGCGGCCCGGGUUUUUUCCCGGUCCUUUGAAAAA